rnacentral:tRNA from 1 species
AUUUAUGUAGUAUAAAAAUUACAUUUAAUUUCCAAUUAAAAAAUCUAAAUAAAUAGCAUAAAUA